UACGGAGGGAGCUAGUCGUUGUUCGGAAUUACUGGGCGUAAAGCGCACGUAGGCGGCUUUGUAAGUUAGAGGUGAAAGCCUGGAGCUCAACUCCAGAACUGCCUUUAAGACUGCAUCGCUUGAAUCCAGGAGAGGUGAGUGGAAUUCCGAGUGUAGAGGUGAAAUUCGUAGAUAUUCGGAAGAACACCAGUGGCGAAGGCGGCUCACUGGACUGGUAUUGACGCUGAGGUGCGAAAGCGUGGGGGAGCAAACAGG
rnacentral:rRNA from 1 species